UACGUAGGGGCUAGCGUUGUCCGGAAUCAUUGGGCGUAAGCGCGCGUAGGCGGCCAGAUAAGUCCGGUGUGAAAGUCAAAGGCUACAACCUUUGAAUGCCGCUGGAAACUGUCUGGCUUGAGUCCGGAAGGGGCGAGUGGAAUUCCUGGUGUAGCGGUGAAUGCGCAGAUAUCAGGAGGAACACCAUGGCGAAGGCAGCUCGCUGGAACGGUACUGACGCUGGAGGCGCGAAAGCGUGGGGAGCGAACAGG
rnacentral:rRNA from 1 species